UUGACACAUCAAAAUAAUUAACAUGUCUUUUAUUGAUCCCUCUGAUCACAUAUAUACAGAAGAUUUACAAACAGAUCCAAGUUUUAUACAUAUUGGUUUCAUAACUAAAUAGCUAUUGGAUAAUCUGAAGGAAUAAACAUUUAAAGGAAAGAUCUUAUCAUUUUUUAAAUUACGAAAUAUAAAAAAAACUGCAAAAUACAUAGCCUUGUGUAUUAUUUUGUAGGAAAUACAUAUUCAGAUAAUACCUGUUUUCAGUGAAUCUUCUUGAUUAGCCUUGCUCCAUGGGGCAUCCCUGUCCAAGACCUGUUUGAUCAUAAGCACUACUUUUAAGAUCAUGCACAAUUUAAAGGUCUGAAUUGGUCCAGAGUGCAUAUUUGAGAUAGCCUGCACUUGCGCAUGAUGUCAGGAUUUGUGAAAGCACAGUAGCACUUGAUAACCUGCAUGUAUUUCCGACCCAAAAAAAAUGUAUUUAAUUAAAGAUGGCCUGCACCAUAGAGCUAGUUUGAGCAAGGAGAAAUGUGGAAAAUAAGUAUUUAUUUACUUAGUAACACAAAGUAAUACACAAUAAAG